GAUGAAGAACGUAGCGAAAUGCGAUAAGUAAUGUGAAUUGCAGAAUUCAGUGAAUCAUCGAAUCUUUGAACGCACAUUGCGCCCUCUGGUAUUCCGGGGGGCAUGCCUGUUCGAGCGUCAUUACAACCCUCAAGCUUUGCUUGGUAUUGGACAUUGCCAGUUUCUGGCAGGCCUUAAAAUCAGUGGCGGUGCCAUUUGGCUUCAAGCGUAGUAAUUCUUCUCGCUUUGGAGAUCCAAGUGGUUACUUGCCAAUAACCCCCAAUUUUUUCAGGUUGACCUCGGAUCAGGUAGGGAUACCCGCUGAACUUAAGCAUAUCAAUAAGCGGAGGA
rnacentral:misc_RNA from 1 species